UUGCUGCCACCUACAGUUUUGGAUUUGUAUAUUAGUUCAUGUUUUGUUGAUAUGUCUUUACUGUUUGUGGAAUCCCAAAAACACCUAUUGAUGCACAUCUAAAAAUAAUGAUGGUAAUUUCAAAAUUGAAGGUUUAAGGCAUAACCAAAGGUGCAAGUCUGUGGACCCUGUGCAGACCCUGCCCCCUUGUGGAGGUUCUACCCCCUUGUGGAAACCCUGGCCACUUGUGGAGGUUCUACCUCCUUGUGGAAACCUCCCCCCCUUCUGUAGGCUCUGCCCCUUGUGGAGACCCUGCCCACUUGUGGAGGUUCUGCCCCCUUGUGUAGACCCUGGCUGCCCACUUGUGGAGGUUCUGCCCACAUAUUGGAAACCCUUCCAACUUUUGUAGGUUCUACCCCCUUAUGGAGGUUCUGCCCCUUUGUGGAGACCUUGCCCCCUUGUGGAAACCGUGCCCACUUGUGAAGGCUCUGCCCCCUACCUCCCCCUUGUGGAGGUUCUGCCCCCUUGUGGAAACCCUGCUCACUUGUGGAGGUUCUGCCCCCUUGUGGAAACCCUGCUCACUUGUGGAGGUUCUGCCCCCUUGUGGAGACCCUGGCCACUUGUGGAGGUUCUACCUCCUUGUGGAAACCGUGCCCACUUGUGGAGGUUCUGCCCCCUACCUCCCCCCCUUCUGUAGGUUCUGCCCCUUGUGGAGACCCUGCCCUCUUGUGGAGGUUCUGCCCACUUAUUGGAGACCCUGGCCACUUGUGGAGGUUCUGCCCCUUACCUCCCCCCUUGUGGAGACCCUACCCUCUUGUGGAGACCCUGCCCACUUGUGGAGGUUCUGCCCCCUUGUGUAGACCCUGGCUGCCCACUUGUGGAGGUUCUGCCCACAUAUUGGAAACCCUUCCAACUUUUGUAGGUUCUACCCCAUUAUGGAGGUUCUGCCCCUUUGUGGAGACCUUGCCCCCUUGUGGAAACCGUGCCCACUUGUGAAGGCUCUGCCCCCUACCUCCCCCUUGUGGAGGUUCUGCCCCCUUGUGGAAACCCUGCUCACUUGUGGAGGUUCUGCCCCCUUGUGGAGACCCUGCCCUCUUGUGGAGGUUCUGCCCACUUAUUGGAGACCCUGGCCACUUGUGGAGGUUCUGCCCCUUACCUCCCCCCUUGUGGAGACCCUACCCUCUUGUGGAGACCCUGCCCACUUGUGGAGGUUCUGCCCCCUUGUGUAGACCCUGGCUGCCCACUUGUGGAGGUUCUGCCCACAUAUUGGAAACCCUUCCAACUUUUGUAGGUUCUACCCCCUUAUGGAGGUUCUGCCCCUUUGUGGAGACCUUGCCCCCUUGUGGAAACCGUGCCCACUUGUGAAGGCUCUGCCCCCUACCUCCCCCUUGUGGAGGUUCUGCCCCCUUGUGGAAACCCUGCUCACUUGUGGAGGUUCUGCCCCCUUGUGGAAACCCUGCUCACUUGUGGAGGUUCUGCCCCCUUGUGGAGACCCUGCCCUCUUGUGGAGGUUCUGCCCACUUAUUGGAGACCCUGGCCACUUGUGGAGGUUCUGCCCCUUACCUCCCCCCUUGUGGAGACCCUACCCUCUUGUGGAGACCCUGCCCACUUGUGGAGGUCCUGCCCACUUUUGGAGGUCCUGCCCCCUUGUGUAGCUCCUUUCCCUUUGUGGAGACCCUGCCCACUUGUGGCGGUCCUGCCCCCUUGUGGAGGUCCUGUUCCCUUAUGGAGACCUUGCCCACUUGUGGCGGUCCUGUCUACUUGUGGAGGUUCUGCCCCCUUGUGGAGGUUCUGCCCACUUGUGGAGGUUCUGCCCACUUGUGGAGGUCCUGCCCCUUGUGGAGGUUCUACCCCCUUGAGGAGACCCUGCCCACUUGUGGAGGUUCACGCCCCAUUUUAGAGAUCUCUGGUCUGCAGCUAUAACUUGUCAAAGCUAGCUUCCUAUUGCUAGCUGUUCCAAAAUUGCCUACCCUACCUUUAAGUAACCUUUAAAUUAUUUUAUUAAAUUCUUCUGACCUUAUCAAACUGAAGUAGACCAACAUUAUUGAAGCUUUAAAUAAUUGAAUAAUAAUAAUACAAAAAAUUGUCAUUGGCUUUGGUGUUUUCAGUUAAUCUCUCCUGUUUGUUAUUCCUUUGUUCCAUCUAUUGUCACACUGCAAGGUGUUUUUUUUGUUCUCCAGUUGCUAAGUAAAUUUGUCCCACCUGUGAUUAAGUUUAGCUGUUCCACUGGAAAGUAAAUAGGGGCUAGCACCUGUUCUUAUUGUUUACUGCGUUACAGGCCAUGCAUUUUCUUUCAGUGUAUACUAUGAAUCCAAACAUGCAUUGCAAGUUCUUGGUUGUUUAAAGAUGAAAAUCACACACCAGAUAUGAUUUAUUACAAAAUAUAAAAUGUAAUGCUGAUAGAUCAAUCUGU